UACAGAGGGUGCGAGCGUUGUUCGGCAUUAUUGGGCGUAAAGCGCUUGUCGGCGGCACGUCAAGUCGCGUGUGAAAUCCCCAGGCUUAACCUGGGAAGUGCGCGCGAAACUGACGAGCUUGAGUGCCGGAGAGGGUCGCGGAAUUCCCGGUGUAGAGGUGAAAUUCGUAGAUAUCGGGAGGAACACCAGUGGCGAAGGCGGCGACCUGGACGGACACUGACGCUGAGGUGCGAAAGCGUGGGGAGCAAACAGG
rnacentral:rRNA from 1 species